GACGAACGCUGGCGGCGUGCUUAACACAUGCAAGUCGAACGGUUAAGCGCCUUCCUUUUUGGUGGGUGUGGAUGAGUGGCGAACGGGUGAGUAACACGUGAGUAACCUGCCCCCUUCUUCUGGAUAACCGCAUGAAAGUGUGGCUAAUACGGGAUAUUCUGUGUCUGUCGCAUGAUGGGUCUGGGAAAGAUAUUGUUUCGGUGGGGGAUGGGCUCGCGGCCUAUCAGCUUGUUGGUGAGGUGAUGGCCUACCAAGGCGGUGACGGGUAGCCGGCCUGAGAGGGUGGACGGUCACACUGGGACUGAGACACGGCCCAGACUCCUACGGGAGGCAGCAGUGGGGAAUAUUGCACAAUGGGCGCAAGCCUGAUGCAGCGACGCCGCGUGAGGGAUGGAGGCCUUCGGGUUGUGAACCUCUUUCGCCAGUGAAGCAGGCCUGCCUCGUUUGUGGGUGGGUUGACGGUAGCUGGAUAAGAAGCGCCGGCUAACUACGUG
rnacentral:rRNA from 1 species